rnacentral:rRNA from 1 species
GACGAACGCUGGCGGCGUGCUUAACACAUGCAAGUCGAACGGAAAGGCCCUGCUUUUGUGGGGUGCUCGAGUGGCGAACGGGUGAGUAACACGUGAGUAACCUGCCCUUGACUUUGGGAUAACUUCAGGCAACUGGGGCUAAUACCGGCUAGGAGCUCCUGCUGCAUGGUGGGGGUUGGAACGUUUCGGCGGUUGGGGAUGGACUCGCGGCUUAUCAGCUUGUUGGUGGGGUAGUGGCUUACCAAGGCUUUGACGGGUAGCCGGCCUGAGAGGGUGACCGGCCACAUUGGGACUGAGAUACGGCCCAGACUCCUACAGGAGGCAGCAGUGGGGAAUAUUGCACAAUGGGCGGAAGCCUGAUGCAGCAACGCCGCGUGCGGGAUGACGGCCUUCGGGUUGUAAACCGCUUUCGCCUGUGACGAAGCGUGAGUGACGGUAAUGGGUAAAGAAGCACCGGCUAACUACGUG